rnacentral:lncRNA from 1 species
UGGAUGUCAGGUCACUAUUGCUAGAUAGUUACAUCGAUUGGUUCAAAAAAGUCUUCUUAUGCUACUGACUUAGGUUCGAACCUAUGGGGUCACACUUAAAAUAAGUUUCUGACUGAUCAUAUAGCUGAUCAACGAUUGAGAAUCGUUCAAGGGCUUAAUCAUCAAUUUGAUUGAUGGUUAACCUUAUGCAAAAGUUGUAAUAAAUUAAUUCAUCAA